UACGGAGGGGGCAAGCGUUGUCCGGAUUUAUUGGGCGUAAAGAGCGGGUAGGCGGCCAAACAGGUCAGCUGUGAAAACUCGAGGCUCAACCUCGAGACGUCGGUUGAAACCGUUUGGCUAGAGUCCGGAAGAGGAGAGUGGAAUUCCCGGUGUAGCGGUGAAAUGCGCAGAUAUCAGGAGGAACACCGGUGGCGAAGGCGGGUCUCUGGGCCGAUACUGACACUGAGGAGCGAAAGCGUGGGGAGCGAACAGG
rnacentral:rRNA from 1 species